GGGGAUAUAGCUCAAUUGGUAGAGCGCUUGCAUGGCAUGCAAGAGGUCAGGGGUUCAAUUCCCCUUAUCUCCA
rfam:Treponema pedis str. T A4, complete genome.